GGCGGCGUAGCUCAGCUGGUUAGAGCACGAGACUCAUAAGCUCGGGGUCACAGGUUCAAGUCCUGUCGCCGCUACCA
rnacentral:tRNA from 1 species